rnacentral:lncRNA from 1 species
GGGAACGGGACCAAAGGUUGAUCAACACACUUCCAAGGGACAGUCUUUUCCCAAGGGAGUCAGGCUGAAGCCUGCACACGUAUAGUUCUGAUGAUAGUCCAGAAGUCAGACCAAAAGCUAAGCAAUUUCAGUUGAAACAGUCUGGUUCCAAAAGGAAUUGGACCAAAGGCUAGCAUAGUUCAAAGGAAUAGCCUGAUUCAAAGGGUUAGGCUGAAGUGCCACCCAAGUGCUUACAGACAAACAAGCCCUUAACCAGAAAAGGACGAAGACUUGAAAUAGAUCUUGACUACAGCCUGGAGAGCCUCCAAUAGGGUGGAAGCUUGGAUCCAGAAAAGACUUACCUUCAAACUCCAGGGCUGACAAGAAAAGCAGCGAGCUCAAUGAGCUCUCUUGUGGGUACCACAGCAGUUUGCUCACCAGCCUUGGAGGCCUUGGGGGUCUUCCCUGGAUUCCCACAUGGACCACCAAAAUAUUGACUUUAAACAAAUAGACAACCAGUUAUUUCUCCAGAAAAAGUGGGUUUAUUCAGGAUCAGUAAAGAAUUGCAACUGAGCGUCUGCAACCGUGGUGAGCCACGUAGAAAGCAGCUGCAAUGGAAAGAACACGGAUGACAAAGGCAAUGUGGACACAGAGCACUCUUACAGACAGCAAGCUCUUCACGCCAAAGAGCACUCCUGGGAUUUCCAAGUAAAACUGAUGGAAACUUUCACAGUGUAUUGGGAGAAGGAAAACAUUCCAAGGAACCAAUGGAUAAAGAGCAAAUCCUUAUGUUUUAGGGAAUUGCAUUAGUUAGGACCUUCCUCUUGUCAUGUUUAUUUUAGAUUCUUGUCCCUAUUGUUACCUCUCUCUAUAGAUUCUCAUUCUAAUGAGUUUGAUAUAUAUGUCAUUUAAUAUGAGUAUAUCCCUGUCAAAAUAUGUAGUGUUCCGUAUAUAUUAGUGUAUGCAGGUGAUUUUAUUUACAUAAAUAUUAUUGAACUAUAGGUUUUAUUCUAUUUAUGUUUUUAUGCAACAUGCCAGAUCUAUCCAUGUUGCUACUUUUACUGCUAUCUGGCAUCUGCAUAUUAUGAAUACAUAGUAUGUAAAUAUAUCUACCAAAUUCCCCUGUAAUAACCACUUAGGCUGUCCCUAAUUUCUAACUUUUCUGCUGGAGUUCUGUUUCUCAAAGUGUUUUAAAGAGAGUGUUUUCAGAGGCAUUUGUAACUGAGAAUAUCUUCAGUUGACCAACCUAUUAACUAUAAUAAACCAG